rnacentral:rRNA from 1 species
GGAGGAAGGUGGGGACGACGUCAGAUCAUCAUGCCCCUUAUGACCUGGGCAACACACGUGCUACAAUGGGAAGUACAACGAGUCGCAAACCGGCGACGGUAAGCUAAUCUCUUAAAACUUCUCUCAGUUCGGACUGGAGUCUGCAACUCGACUCCACGAAGCNGGAAUCGCUAGUAAUCGCGAAUCAGCAUGUCGCGGUGAAUACGUU